GAUGAACGCUGGCGGCGUGCCUAAUACAUGCAAGUCGAGCGAACAGACGAGGAGCUUGCUCCUCUGACGUUAGCGGCGGACGGGUGAGUAACACGUGGAUAACCUACCUAUAAGACUGGGAUAACUUCGGGAAACCGGAGCUAAUACCGGAUAAUAUAUUGAACCGCAUGGUUCAAUAGUGAAAGACGGUUUUGCUGUCACUUAUAGAUGGAUCCGCGCCGCAUUAGCUAGUUGGUAAGGUAACGGCUUACCAAGGCAACGAUGCGUAGCCGACCUGAGAGGGUGGUCGGCGACACUGGAACUGAGACACGGUCCAGACUCCUACGGGAGGCAGCAGUAGGGAAUCUUCCGCAAUGGGCGAAAGCUUGACGGAGCAACGCCGCGUGAGUGAUGAAGGUCUUCGGAUCGUAAAACUCUGUUAUUAGGGAAGAACAAAUGUGUAAGUAACUAUGCACGUCUUGACGGUACCUAAUCAGAAAGCCACGGCUAACUACGUG
rnacentral:rRNA from 1 species